GACUUCUAGUACUGUGGAAAAGUUGACUAUGUGUGCAUUUUCCACCCGAUUGUUUCUUUUUUUAAUGUUUCCUCUCUUAUUGUGCUAAUGCAAUUAUUGCCAGCCAUUGCCAUUAGAAAGCGUUUAAGAUCAUUUGAAGAAAGCGAAAAAAAAACAAUCAUAUUGCAGUAGCGAAAAAUAACACGAAAAGUGUUACAAAAAGAAAGCAACUCGUUAAUGUGAAUUCUGUCGAAGAAAUUAUAGAAAAUGUGCUGUAAAAAUAGUGAAAAAAUGAAGAAAACUAAUUAGUGCAGUAGUCGCCGCAAUUGUCAGUUAUAGCGCAGAGUCGCAACCACCACCAACACCUUGUACAAGUACCGUUGCGUGCAUCGUGGACUAUCGUCGUUUUUUGUUAGCAAAAGCAGCAAAUUGAGAGCAUAAAAACAACAACAAAAAAACUCAUUUACAAAGCUGAGUAAAAGUGCCGUUUGCCAAAGUCACCAUUGCUACUUUCAUCAAUUUUUGUAUUUUGUAUUGUGCUUUUAAUUUUUAUUUUUGACCGCAUUGCAAUGCGUUUUGUCUGCGACUUAUACGCCAGCAGUCGGCUUAUUAAAUGUAUUUAUAGGUUUCCCUGCGGCUGUUGAAAAAGUAGUUUUGCACCACCUUAAUAAGUAAAAACAACAAAACGAAAAACCUCAAAAAAAUUUUAAACUUUUGACACUAACAGAUUUCCCUGCAAGUGCAGACUAAGUGAAAAUGUCCGCGACAAAAAAAAUAAAAGAAAAUAAACAUUUUUGACAAAAAUUCACUAAAAGACGAAAAGCUCUGCCUAAAAAAUUUCUUAGAUCGUAUAAAUGAACUAAUGCUGAUGACAAAUUACAAAAAAAAAAAAAAUAAUAAUUGACAAAACAAAAGUGGAUUUUGACAAAAAUAAAAUUGAACUACCGCCGAACUUGAUCAGAUAAAUUCAAGAAGCAGUGAGAAACUAUACAAAAUUUAAAAGAAGCAUCUUUGUACGAGUCCACGGUUGUGCUGCCCGCUUUGUGAUUUCAACUUCAAGACAAAAAAUAAUGGAAACUAAUUCUCCAUCCGCCAAAAUGGUGGGAAUGGCUUUAAAAAACAAGAUGGAAAGGGUAAAGAAUGCCAGAUAAAAAGUACAUGUACAGUGAAUUUUGUUGAAAUGAAAUCAGACUCAUUAAGCUCGAGCUCAUUUUCUGAGGAUGGUGACGAUUCCGUACGUGAUACCACAUACAUUCCACCCGAUAUUGUCAGUAAGAGUAACAGUCACUGCGAACCAAAUUCAAUAUCAGACAGUUCUGAGGCUAACACAACCGAUGUCGAAACUCCGAUGAUUUUAACUAGUCCACGAAAACGAAUUUAAGGUGGCAAAUAAUAUCAUUAAAAAGAAAAACAUGAAGGAUAUUACAAUGACAAGAGCAUUUUAUACAAAACCUCAGAUAGCGGACCGCAAAAAAAGAUCUGCUAGAAUU